rnacentral:rRNA from 1 species
GGGGAAUCUUCCGCAAUGGGCGCAAGCCUGACGGAGCAACGCCGCGUGAGUGAAGAAGGCCUUCGGGUUGUAAAACUCUGUCAUCAGGGAAGAAGAAAGUGACGGUACCUGAGGAGGAAGCCCCGGCUAACUACGUGCCAGCAGCCGCGGUAAAACGUAGGGGGCGAGCGUUGUCCGGAAUUACUGGGCGUAAAGGGCGCGUAGGCGGUUAUCCAAGUCAGGGGUGAAAACCUUGGGCUCAACUCAGGGCCUGCCUCUGAAACUGGGUAACUUGAGGGCAGGAGAGGGGAGUGGAAUUCCCAGUGUAGCGGUGAAAUGCGUAGAUAUUGGGAGGAACACCAGUGGCGAAGGCGGCUCUCUGGCCUGUAACUGACGCUGAGGCGCGAAAGCGUGGGUAGCGAACA